rnacentral:tRNA from 1 species
AGAAAUGUAGCUCAGUGGUAGAGCAGUCGCCUAACAUGUAAAGGCCCUGGGUUUGAACCUCAGCAUUGCAA